CCUACGGGAGGCAGCAGUGGGGAAUAUUGCGCAAUGGGCGAAAGCCUGACGCAGCGACGCCGCGUGGGGGAUGAAGGUCUUCGGAUCGUAAACCUCUGUCAGCAGGGAAGAACGGUCACUGGGCUAAUCAGCAGUGAAUUGACGGUACCUGCAAAGGAAGCACCGGCUAACGCCGUGCCAGCAGCCGCGGUAAGACGGAGGGUGCGAGCGUUAAUCGGACUUACUGGGCGUAAAGCGCUCGUAGGCGGUAUGUCAAGUCAAGGGUGAAAUCCCCGCGCUCAACGUGGGAACUGCCUUUGAAACUGGCCAACUGGAGUGUGUGAGAGGCUAGUGGAAUUCCAGGUGUAGGCGU
rnacentral:rRNA from 1 species